rnacentral:tRNA from 1 species
GGGCCUGUAGAUCAACGGUAGAUCGCCACCUUCGCAAACUAUACGAAAAAGGUGGAGGCUCUGGGUUCAAAUCCCAGCAGGUCCA